UACAGAGACUCCAAGCGUUAUUCGGAUUUACUGGGCGUAAAGGGUGCGCAGGCGGCCAGGUGUGUCAGAGGUGAAAUACUGCAGCUUAACUGUAGAACGGCCUUUGAAACUACCUGGCUAGAGUAUCGGAGAGGCAAGCGGAAUUCCUGGUGUAGCAGUGAAAUGCGUAGAUAUCAGGAGGAACACCGAAAGCGAAGGCAGCUUGCUGGACGAUUACUGACGCUCAGGCACGAAAGCAUGGGGAGCGAAAGGG
rnacentral:rRNA from 1 species